CCGAGUCGCCGACUCCACACCCCGCGUACCUACCCCCCCGUUGCCUCGGCGGGCGGCCCCCGGCCCCGGCCCGCCGACGGCCCAGCACCGUCGCGCUACCGUCCGAGUCCCCGACCGUCA
rnacentral:misc_RNA from 1 species